GACGAACGCUGGCGGCAUGCCUAAUACAUGCAAGUCGAGCGAACAGAUGAAGUGCUUGCACUUCUGACGUUAGCGGCGAACGGGUGAGUAACACGUAAGGAAUCUACCUAUAAGCGGGGGAUAACAUUCAGAAACGGGUGCUAAUACCGCAUAAUAUCUUCUUCCGCAUGGAAGAAGAUUGAAAGACGGCUCUGCUGUCACUUAUAGAUGACCUUGCGGUGCAUUAGUUAGUUGGUGGGGUAAUGGCCUACCAAGACGAUGAUGCAUAGCCGACCUGAGAGGGUGAUCGGCCACAUUGGGACUGAGACACGGCCCAAACUCCUACGGGAGGCAGCAGUAGGGAAUCUUCCGCAAUGGGCGAAAGCCUGACGGAGCAAUGCCGCGUGAAUGAAGAAGGCCUUCGGGUCGUAAAACUCUGUUAUAAGAGAAGAACAAAUUGUAGAGUAACUGCAACAGUCUUGACGGUAUCUUAUCAGAAAGCCACGGCUAACUACGUGCCAGCAGCCGCCGUAA
rnacentral:rRNA from 1 species